AANCNAUGCAUGUCUAAGUAUAAGCAAUCUAUACGGUGAAACUGCGAAUGGCUCAUUAAAUCAGUUAUCGUUUAUUUGAUAGUACCUUACUACAUGGAUACCUGUGGUAAUUCUAGAGCUAAUACAUGCUAAAAACCUCGACUUCGGAAGGGGUGUAUUUAUUAGAUAAAAAACCAAUGCCCUUCGGGGCUCCUUGGUGAAUCAUAAUAACUUAACGAAUCGCAUGGCCUUGCGCCGGCGAUGGUUCAUUCAAAUUUCUGCCCUAUCAACUUUCGAUGGUAGGAUAGUGGCCUACCAUGGUGGCAACGGGUAACGGGGAAUUAGGGUUCGAUUCCGGAGAGGGAGCCUGAGAAACGGCUACCACAUCCAAGGAAGGCAGCAGGCGCGCAAAUUACCCAAUCCCGAUACGGGGAGGUAGUGACAAUAAAUACUGAUACGGGGCUCUUUUGGGUCUCGUAAUUGGAAUGAGUACAAUUUAAAUACCUUAACGAGGAACAAUUGGAGGGCAAGUCUGGUGCCAGCAGCCGCGGUAAUUCCAGCUCCAAUAGCGUAUAUUAAAGUUGUUGCAGUUAAAAAGCUCGUAGUUGAACCUUGGGUCUGGCUGGCCGGUCCGCCUCACCGCGAGUACUGGUCCGGCUGGACCUUUCCUUCUGGGGAACCUCAUGGCCUUCACUGGCUGUGGGGGGAACCAGGACUUUUACUGUGAAAAAAUUAGAGUGUUCAAAGCAGGCCUUUGCUCGAAUACAUUAGCAUGGAAUAAUAGAAUAGGACGUGCGGUUCUAUUUUGUUGGUUUCUAGGACCGCCGUAAUGAUUAAUAGGGAUAGUCGGGGGCGUCAGUAUUCAGCUGUCAGAGGUGAAAUUCUUGGAUUUGCUGAAGACUAACUACUGCGAAAGCAUUCGCCAAGGAUGUUUUCAUUAAUCAGGGAACGAAAGUUAGGGGAUCGAAGACGAUCAGAUACCGUCGUAGUCUUAACCAUAAACUAUGCCGACUAGGGAUCGGGCGGUGUUUCUAUGAUGACCCGCUCGGCACCUUACGAGAAAUCAAAGUUUUUGGGUUCUGGGGGGAGUNUNGNCGCA
rnacentral:rRNA from 1 species